rnacentral:lncRNA from 1 species
CGAGUUUAGGAAUGUAAUUUUGUUAAAAUUGCGCCUAAAGAGUCUAAUGCGUUAUUAUUUGAGGUAGGCCGUGAAAUUCGCUAAACGGCCCAUCCCGAGACCUAAAAUAUUUUAGUAUAAUAUUUAUUGAGGGACCCGUAAUUUUACAUUUUGUUCGGCGAGGCUCGUCUCAUUUUAUUUUUAAAAGGCAAACUUAACGUGACUAUGAUUUUCUGUUUUUGAUUUGUCUCUAGUAAUAAAAGAAAAGUUCUAAGCAAUUAUCUUAUUUGAAAGGCCAAAACUUAUGUAUUAAAUUCAAAUCAUUCUGGCUCGAUGCCCAUAUGAAUUUGGGCAGACAAAGAUUUGUUAAUUCAAACCAGCAAUUGCUGGCCCUUCAUGGAUUGGGCCUCAAAAGGGGAAGUCCGAUUUAAAUUUCCGCAUCAUUCAAAUGUAACUGGGGAUCGAGCCCAGCGAGGGUGCAACACAGCACCCAAACAAUUACAUGGUGACCUUUGCAUUCCAUUGUCGAUUCUAUUUUUCUUAUCUCUUGUUUUCGCCAGUUCAGAACAUAUGCGAGAUGAACAAUUCUACAAAAUUCACAUAGCUAAACACUUAAUUUGAUGCAUAUUGACAAACUAAAGUUCUGGAAAUUCAAGCAAACGGUCCAAUUAUCUAUUCCUUUAUUUGUAUCACUCCAAUUUAUAAGAAAUAUAUCACUUUUGAUUUCAGUCUUAUGCUAAGUCAUCUCACUUAUCUGCCUUCUGAUGGCUUCUUAGAGACCACUAAGUGAGAAGUAAAUUGGAAACAAUGGCUUAACUAACACAAGUAGACUGAUCAUUUUGGCAUUUAUUACUGAGUCACUGAAGUUAUCACUAAUUACAAUGAUAUAAAACUGUCCUAAGCAUGCGUCUAACUUGAACUUAACAAUUUAUUAUUAUUGCUAAGCUACAAUAGGUAUCAACUACACUGAAGCUGCACCUGAACAACUACAAAUUUAAACCAUCCAAAAUAGUCCCAAUUAAAACACAUUCCAGACAGAAUUAAACUACCAAUCUAACCUAUCCAACUACAAUUAAACAGUCCUUAACAUAAUGCAAAUCAACCAAAUUAAGACUAGGCAAUUACAUGUCAUUAUCCUGAUUAUAACCACAGACAAUUACAGGAGCAAAUACUUGAAAUAUGACUUCAUUGCAUUCCAAUUGAAAGUUACAUCAAGGCAAUUUCAAUUGUGUACCUGCAAUGGAAAGGAAUAGAAAUAAGUGAGAGGCAGCAGCAACAGUAAGCAGGGAUCAGCUAGCAGCCCAGAAUAUGAGCUCAAAAUCCAGGAAAAAUUCAAAAGCCAAGCAGAAACCAGAAGCUCAACCGUAAAAUACUUGAAUGCACCCAAAUAAACUCAAAAUCGAAUUCAAAACACUUCUGCAACUUCAGCAAAGCAAAACAUAACCAAAACCAACUCAAGCAGACCCAAAUCCACUCGAACCAGUUACCAAAUACUUCUAAAUGCUUUUUAAAACUCGAAAUUAGAACAGAAAUAGAGAGAUUCAAGUAGGAAUUGAAACUAGGCAAAGAAAUAGUAGACUGUUUUUUGAUUUUUUUCUGUUUUCUGGUGUUUUUGGAAUUUUGAAUAUUUGAAUUUCAAAAUGCAGAUCUGGAAAUUAGAGAGAGAGCUUUUAGGGGGAAUUUUUUUUGCCUGAAAACUUUGGGAAUUUUUCAGAGGGUCUAAACACCUGUAAAAGAAGGCAUUAGAGAUGUGUUUUAUUGGCAAGGAAUGGGGGGAAAUAUUUUCCUAUUUUCCCCUCUUUUUAUUUUCAGAAAUUGGACCUUAAUCCCUUAUUUUAUGGCUUCUUUCCCAAGUUACUGCAUAAAAAAUACAUAAACUUACACCAAGGCUCCCUUCUAGAAGGCCCUAGGGUGUUCUUACCUUGUUUUCCACCUAUGGAAUGCCUAUACUACCCUUACUUGAGUUCUAAAAUUACUAUGUCUUAACAAACCAGCCCUUUCCCAUGCCCAAAUUACCCUUGACUACUCCCUGAAAUUACUGACCAACCCAAACCCCUUUGCUUUAGAUAAAAUUCAACCAAUGUUAAUUGAAGGCUAAGUUAUUUAGAUAUAUCCUAACUAAUUUCAAAAUUCUAAGACUGAAUCCAAUUAAUGCUAAUUAAGACUGAAAAUUGAUCCUAAAUCCCACUACUAUCCAGUUAUCAACUAGCAAAGACUAAUUACACUUAAUCACUAAAAAUGAAUCAUCAAAGAAUCAGAAUUAACACUAUUAACUGAUCAGAAUGCAUAAAACAAGAUUAACUCAAAACUGAGCUAAAAAUCAGGAAAUUAACAAUCAAUAGAUACUAAUCAAUGGCCCAUUUACGAAUUAAGACUGACCUACUACGAGUUAAACUAACCUAAUAUGAGCAAACCUAAAUCGUGGAUAAAUUAACUAAAACUUAUGGAAACAUGCAUGAAUUGAUCAAACAAAGUUUAAACUAAUUAUAAGGUUCAAAUAAUAGAAGAAGCAAAAACAGAAAAACUUACUUAUGCAAGUUGAACCAACUGAACUCCAACUCGAGCCCCAGAAUAAUGUAUAUGUGUGUUCUUUAAUCCAAAAACAAGCGAACACAUUAUCGAGAUACUUGACUUGACCUCCAGACUGAGGCAAUUGAAAACAAAAAUCAAGGAACUCGGAUUUAUAUGGCUCUGCCAGUCUAAGAUUUAAAAUUCGAGAAGUUUUGGCAACAUUCAAGAGAUUCUGGCUAAGGAUUCCAGUAGAUGGAGGUUAGAAGAGUGUAUGGUAUAAAUUUGGUUGUAUUUGGGGUGAGUUGAUGUUUUGGUCCAUAUUUUGAUCUAAUAUUCGAGACGUUUGGCUAUGUUUUGAGAGAAACUGAGCCCGGAUAUGGAAAGAGGAGGUAAAGGGGAACUUUGGUGAAAUUUUGGGUAGAUUUGAAACAUCGCCGCUAGCAGAGGCGAUUUCUGGCCAGCGGCGGACAGCAGAAGGGGUACGGUGGUGAUACAGCUGCGUUACAGGAGAGAGGGUUGGUACAAGGAAGAUGGGAUUUGUCUAGGGUUAAUGGGAUUUUUAGGACACGUUUAUUUAAAAUUGAAGGAUCA